rnacentral:rRNA from 1 species
GAUGAACGCUGGCGGCGUGCUUAAUACAUGCAAGUCGAACGGAAAGGCGCCUGCUUUCAGGGGUACUCGAGUGGCGAACGGGUGAGUAACACGUGGGUGAUCUGCCCUGCACUUCGGGAUAAGCCUUGGAAACUGGGGCUAAUAUCGGAUAGGAUGAUGGUAUGGAUGUCAUUGUGGAAAGUAUUUCGGUGUUGGAUGAGCUUGCGGCCAAUUAGCUUGUUGGUGGGGUAAUGGCUUACCAAGGGGCCGACGGGUAGCCGGCCGGGGAGGGUGGACGGCCACAUUGGGACUACGAGAGGGCCCAGACUCCUACGGGAGGCAGCAGUGGAGAGUAUUGCACAAUAGGCGCGAGCCUGAUACAGCGGCGCCGCGUGGGGGAUGACGGCCUUCGGGUUGUGAACUCCUUUCGCUAGAGACAAAGCGCUAGUGACGGUACCUGGAGAAGAAGCACCGGCUAACUACGUG